UUUGCCUUCCACAGGAAAACAAAACAACUCUCCAGAAAGAAUUUCAGAACAUUCUAGCAGCAGACUCUGUAACAGUGUGUUCAACACCAGCCGACUUGUCCUAGGAAAUUAUAAACAAGCCACUUCCUACACUUCCACCAGAUAGUAGCUGCCCAGGCUUUGGAAACAGGCAUCAUGACUGGCACGAUUAAAGCUAAAGGGAAGAGAACCAGCAGGAACCGUUCACAGAAAUGAUGAGAAACUAGGCCAAAGACCAGGGAGCAGGUGGACGGACACAUGACAGCAGCCCAGAGCCCUGUGGAGAAGCCAGAAGCCGGGAGAGAAUCUGAUAAUUGCGGGUGGUGGUUACUAAGCAAAAACAAACAAAAAAACAAACAGCGAAGCGCAUUUACGGAGGAAGGGGGGAAAUGGAUGAAAAGGUCCAAGCCAGGGAGUAUGGAAGCUGAAGAAGCUUUGUUCACUAGUUAAAAGAAUGCCAAGCGCGCAAUGGAUGCUUCGCAGGGAGCGGGGACAAAAAGAGGCUGCACACAGUAGGUCUGCUCGCUCGCAUCCAUCGUGCACGUCAGCCUUCACAAAAGGAGAGCAUGGAGGGUGUCCUUCUUGGGGCAGUGCCCACAGCUCUGUGGCCGGGGCAAGAAUAAUUAGCACAGAUACCAGUGGCAGACAGCCUUCCAAAGUACAUUGUUGAAGGAAAGAGGAGCCGCCAGGUCAUGUGUCUGCCCAUCUGGCAUCACCCCACUCUCAACAGUGUCUGCAAAAACACCCUGGACUUCUUAGAGGUGCAUCAUCUGAUCUCCCUAACAGGCUGUCAUGUGCUGAAAGAUUAAGGAACAGAAUUCUUACAUUGCCUAAGGCAGCAGCAUGGUUUGCGUUUUAAAAAUUGGUUCCGUGGCAAAGAAAUCUCCUUUGGAAACAUUACAAGAAGAGCUAUAAAACUUACUACGCAUCUGCACUACCCAUCUGAACAUCUUAUGAAGCACAGUCAUCGGUCAAGCCCAGAUCAUCAGAAAUCUGAGCCUGCAACAGGAGUAAGCCCUCCAGAUAAGGAAGACAUCACAUCUUGAGCAAAAGUCACGUUGUGAGCUUGAUUCCAGCCCUCCCCCUAGUCACCUGCCACAGGCCACACAAUGCAAUGCUGCUAUGUCCCCUGACUCCAUCUGUCUGGCAUUCUAUUAACAGGGACCCCCAACGACUAGAAUUCCACAUUAAUACAACAUUGAUAAUGACCCAGGGUCACAAAGUUGUUCAGAAUCAAAUGAAAUUUUAAUUAAUUUGGUAGUACUUUAGCAGUCUGGUGUGUUAGAUUAUUUAGCGAUUUCACAACUUGGGUUAUUAGAAAACAAAUAAAAUUUAAUAUUUUAACAAUUGUGGUUACUAGAAAGCAAAUUAUCCCCAAAGGUAAUUAAAGUGUCUCUAGUAAUAUGUGAUUUUCCCCAAUACACCAAUUCCCUGACUUUCCUAACCAAGAUACAGCUGUUUAUAAGGAUGUCCCACCUAGGGCAUAUCUGAAGAAAAUAAUAAAAUUAUACACUUUACACGGAUGACAACAAGCAACCUUAGAAUGGAGACUACACACCUGCCUGCACUCUGCACAGCCAGAACGUGAAGUUCCCUUUCCCAAUUGCCAGUGAGGACCUCAAAGAAUGUUCUCCUGGAGGGCUGCCAGGGUUUUGUAUUGGUAUCUGAGGGAGCAUUCUGGGAGGUGCCCAUGAGCUAAAGCAGCAGAGAAUUCCAACUCGCAAACAUUUCAGGCAUUUUAAUUUUUAUUACAAUUUAAACUAUGUAAGCACAGCCCUCAGGAAAAGGAAAACUUGAUGACCAAACCUUUUUUCCCCUUUAAUGACUCCAUUAAUUUAUUCUUCCAACUACAAUCAGAUGGCACCUUGCAUGCACACAUAUAUAUGAUAUUCAAGGCACACGGGACCAAGACUCUCUGUCCCCCAUACUGUGCAUUUCAAAUCUUAUAAUGUCUCAUUUUAGCUACUUUAGGGAGCUGGCAUGAGGCUUUUCAGCAGCCCGAGUCUGCCGCAAGACCUGUCUUGGUGGGAAGGAGAAAACCUUAUACUUAGCAUGCUGAGAAGCUGAUUUUAAAAAAAAGAGGAAAUUGUUAUAAUUACAGUGAGAGCUUUUGCAUGCAAAUUCAGUUUUCCUUGGGGGAAAUUUGCAUACUCUACAAGGAAUCCCCAUGCCAAAAGUAAACGCAAGGCUUUUUAGCUCCAGUCUUUAAAAGCGAUGCACAUGGCCAGGAAUUGCAUAGUCUGUGAAUGUGUUCCAGGCCUGGCCCAGAUAUGCUGUUUAUAAAAGAAAGGACUUUACAAUGCAGUUUAUAAUAUUUAAAAGGUACAACAUUUAUGCUGCAAGAGGUGACAGUUAUCAAUCAGGCUGAGACAACCAAUAAAGAGUAGGACAGUGUUUCAACAGGGCUCCAAAACUUACCUAAACCCUUUUUCAUAAAGAUAAAUACAUUUUAAAGGAUUCAUUUCUCCUCUGAUUCUUUUUUUUUUAACAUCUUUAUUGGAGUAUAGUUGCUUUACAACUGUGUGCUAGUUUCUGCUGUAUAACAAAGUGAAUCAGCUAUACGUAUACAUAUAUCCCCAUAUCUCCUCCCUCAUGCAUCUCCCUCCCACCCUCUCAAUCUCACCCCUCUAGGUGGUCACAAAACACUGAGCUGAUCUCCCUGUGCUAUGCCGCUGCUUCCCACUAGCUAUCUAUUUUACAUUUGGUAGUGUAUAUAUGUCCAUGCCACUCUCUCACUUCAUCCCAGCUUACACUUCCCCCUCUCCGUGUCCUCAAGCCCAUUCUCUACGUCUGCGUAUUUAUUCCUAUCCUGGGCCCUAGGUUCUUCAGAACCGUUUUUUUUUUUUUAGAUUCCAUAUAUAUGUGUUAGCAUACGGUAUUUGUUUUUCUCUUCCUGACUUACCUCACUCUGUAUGACAGUCUCAAGGUCCAUUCAUUUCACUACAAAUAACUCAAUUUCAUUUCUUUUUACGGCUGAGUAAUAUUCCAUUGUAUAUAUGUGCCACAUCUUCUUUAUCCAUUCAUCUGUUGAUGGACACUUAGGUUGCUUCCAUGUCCUGGCUAUUGUAAAUAGAGCUGCAAUGAACAUAUUGCUACACGACUCUUUUUGAAUUAUAGUUUUCUCAGGGUAUAUGCCCAGUAGUGGGACUGCUGGGUUGUAUGGUAGUUCUAUUUUUAGUUUUCUAAGGAACCUCCAUACUGUUCUCCAUAGUGGCUCUAUCAAUUUACAUUCCCACCAACAGUGCAAGAGGGUUCCCUUUUCUCCACACCCUCUCCAGCAUUUAGUGUUUGUAGAUUUUUUGAUGAUGGCCAUUCUGAUCAGUGUGAGAUGAUAUCUCAUUGUAGUUUUGAUUUGCAUUUCUCUAAUGAUUAGUGAUGUUGAGCAUCCUUUCAUGUGUUUGUUGGCAAUCUGUAUAUCUUCUCUGGAGAAAUGUCUAUUUAGGUCUUCUGCCCAUUUUUUGGAUUGGAUUGUUUGUUUUUUUGAUAUUGAGAGACAUGAGCUGCUUGUAUAUUUUGGAGAUUAAUCCUUUGUCAGUUUGCUUCAUUUGCAAAUAUUUUCUCCCAUUCUGAGGGUUGUCCUUUCAUUUUGUUUAUGGUUUCCUUGGCUGUGCAAAAGCUUUCAAAUUUCAUUAGAUCCCAUUUGUUUAUUUUUGUUUUUAUUUCCAUUUCUCUAGGAGGUGGGUCAAAAAGGAUCUUGCUGUGAUUUAUGUCAUAGAAUGUUCUGCCUAUGUUUGCCUCUAAGAGUUUUAUAGUGUCUGGCCUUACAUUUAGGUCUUUAAACCAUUUUGAGUUUAUUUUUGUAUACGGUGUUAAGGAGUGUUUUAAUUUCAUUCUUUUAUAUGUAGCUGUCCAGCUUUCCCAGCACCACUUAUUGAAGAGGCUGUCUUUUCUCCAUUGUAUAUUCUUGCCUCCUUUAUCAAAGAUAAGGUGACCAUAUGUGCAUGGGUUUAUCUCUGGGCUUUCUAUCCCGUUCCAUUGAUCUAUAUUUCUGGCUUUCUGCCAGUACCAUACUGUCUUGAUUACUGUAGCUUUGUAGUAUAGUCCGAAGUCAGUCUCCUCUGAUUCUUAACACUUCCAACUACACAAUAAAAAAAUAGUCACAGUUGUUGUUAAAUGCUAAGAUUCAAGGAUAUUUUUGUGAUAAAGGAAAUAAAGAAUGGGUGAAGGGGACAAAUGGAAACCCAUUUGUAUUGAUAAUUUGGGCUAAACUCGAGGCAAAUAUGUGUCUCCCUGUAACUGCAGAAAAAUAUUUUAGAUAAUCAACCAUGGAGAAAAGGUACUAGUAAUACUAGUAAAGGUACUGGUGACCUUUAGAAAACAUCAAAUACACAUUUCUGGGCUUCCCUGAUGGCGCAGUGGUUGAGAGUCCGCCUGCUGAUGCAGGGGACACGGGUUCGUGCCCCAGUCCAGGA